UACGUAGGGUGCGAGCGUUGUCCGGAAUUAUUGGGCGUAAAGGGCUCGUAGGCGGUUUGUCGCGUCGGGAGUGAAAUCCACUGGCUUAACUGGUGGCUUGCUUUCGAUACGGGCAGACUGGAGGUAUGCAGGGGAGAACGGAAUUCCUGGUGUAGCGGUGAAAUGCGCAGAUAUCAGGAGGAACACCGGUGGCGAAGGCGGUUCUCUGGGCCUUACCUGACGCUGAGGCGCGAAAGCUAGGGGAGCGAACAGG
rnacentral:rRNA from 1 species